rnacentral:rRNA from 1 species
AUUGAACGCUGGCGGCAUGCCUUACACAUGCAAGUCGAACGGCAGCACGGGAGCAAUCCUGGUGGCGAGUGGCGAACGGGUGAGUAAUAUAUCGGAACGUGCCCAGUCGUGGGGAUAACGUAGCGAAAGCUACGCUAAUACCGCAUACGAUCUAUGGAUGAAAGCGGGGGAUCGCAAGACCUCGCGCGAUUGGAGCGGCCGAUAUCAGAUUAGGUAGUUGGUGAGGUAAAGGACUCACCAAGCCGACGAUCUGUAGCUGGUCUGAGAGGACGACCAGCACACUGGGACUGAGACACGGCCCAGACUCCUACGGGAGGCAGCAGU